NNNNNNNNNNNNNNNNNNNNNNNNNNNNNNNNNNUUGGGUGCUGAACCCCCUCUGCUGCCGCCCCCCCCAGGGCCCUGCCACAAAACACCCGGAACGUGCUCAGCGCCGGGCACGCGGCCGUCGGGGCCCCUCCUGCCAGGCGCUUCGGCAUGUUCCUGCGUGCUCCGCUGGAUCGGGCCUCGACUGCUUCGCUCUGCUCCUUCCCUCCGGAGCUAUUUACAGCCCUCUCGGCGUUGCUGACCUCCGGGAAGUUGCUCCCCUCGUGGAGCCGGCAGCAUCUGGCAGCGCUCUGCUCUCCGGAGGGGUCUGCCGCAUCCAGAUUGCAACCUGCCCUCCCGCUCCAAGUGCUGCCGAGGGGUCUGGCUGCCUUCCCCUGCCUCCGUCCUCCCCCGGGAGCUGAGGGGGGUGUUUCCAUGCAGCCUUGUGUGGGACAGGGCUGGGCAAAAGGUGUUGCCCCCCACCACACAGCACAUCCUCAGUGCCCGCCUGUCCCGGCUCCUCGUUCUCUGUACACAUGUCCCGGGCAUCCCGCGACCUCAUGGUGUGUUCCCCCAGCACGUCCCUCCGUGCAUGCCUCUCCCGGCUCCUCGUUCUCUGUGCACGUGUCCCGGGCAUCCCGCGACCUCGUGGUGCGUUCCCGCAGCACGUCCCUCCGUGCACGCCUCUCCCGGCUCCUCGUUCUCUGUGCACGUGUCCCGGGCAUCCCACGACCUCGUGGUGCGUUCCCGCAGCACGUCCCUCCGUGCACGCCUCUCCCGGCUCCUCGUUCUCUGUGCACGUGUCCCGGGCAUCCCACGACCUCGUGGUGCGUUCCCGCAGCACGUCCCUCCGUGCACGCCUCUCCCGGCUCCUCGUUCUCUGUGCACGUGUCCCGGGCAUCCCACGACCUCGUGGUGCGUUCCCGCAGCACGUCCCUCCGUGCACGCCUCUCCCGGCUCCUCGUUCUCUGUGCACGUGUCCCGGGCAUCCCGCGGUCUCGUGGUGCGUUCCCGCGGGCUCUGCUGGUCCAGAGGGCAAUAGCGGGAAUCCCUUGUCUCUCUGCCCAUCCCUGCAGGCGACAGGCUCUCCCAGCGGCGUGCAGCUGCCGCCUGUGUGGUGGAGGGCCGGCGGUGGCACAGACCUUGCAGGGAGCUUGCAUGCGCCAGCUGGCCCCGUCGGAUCAGGCUGCGAGCCGGGGAGCUUAGCUGAGCCCUGUAAUUUAAAAGUUCCCAUCAAAUAUUCCUGUGUCGGAGCCUGUGCUGCGUCUGGGCUGAUGCCUAGGUGAAGGGUAGCAGAUUCAGGUAGCUGCCCUUUAUGGAAAAAAAAGUCUUUCCUGGGGAUUUUCCAGCCAUAAAGCUGUUGUUUGCUUAUUUUUUUUCCCCCAUAGUCUCUGCAGCGUAGUCAGAGCCUGGGACACCCUGC
rnacentral:lncRNA from 1 species